rnacentral:rRNA from 1 species
GACGAACGCUGGCGGCGUGCUUAACACAUGCAAGUCGAACGAUGAACCCGGAGCUUGCUCCGGUGGAUUAGUGGCGAACGGGUGAGUAACACGUGAGUAACCUGCCCUUGACUCUGGGAUAACUGCGGGAAACUGUAGCUAAUACCGGAUACGACCCUCGGCGGCAUCGCCAGGGGGUGGAAAGAAUUUCGGUCAAGGAUGGACUCGCGGCCUAUCAGCUAAUUGGUGAGGUAAAAGCUCACCAAGGCGACGAUGUUUAGCUGGUUUGAGAGGAUGAUCAGCCACACUGGGACUGAGAUACGGCCCAGGCUCCUACGGGAGGCAGCAGUGAGGAAUAUUCCACAAUGGGGGAAACCCUGAUGGAGCGAUACCGCGUGCAGGAAGACGCUUUUCGGAGUGUAAACUGCUUUUAAUAGGGAAGAUUAUGACGGUACCUAUAGAAUAAGGACCGGCUAACUACGUGCCAGCCGCCGCGGUAAGAC